UUCAUCAUUAACUCAUUAGAUUUCUGGUUAAGCAUCUCUCAUCAACAUAGGUGUUACUGAUUUGUAGUAAAACCAACUACGUUGCGUCCACAUAUACCUCCAGUGAUAAGUUCAACGGCCAUUGUCGAAGUUAGAUAUGGAUCAUCCGUAACAUUGAACUGCAAUGCAACCGGAUAUCCAGAGCCACAAAUUACGUGGCACGCACAUCACAAAACAAUUCAUCACAAAACUCUUGCGAUUUCCAAAGCCACUUUAGAUGAUAAUGGAUUGUAUUUGUGUAUUGCCAUUAAUGAUGCUGGGCAAACCCAAGCAAACACAGUGGUAUCUGUAACAGGAGAUGCGCCACAUAUUACUGUUCCACCUUCAUCUGCAGUUAAAAAUUCAGGAGAAAUACAAAGCUUCCUGUGUGCAGCUACUGGAAAUCCUAAACCAAAUAUUACCUGGUCUUACACGUCAUAUCUGCAUACUGGUAGUCAUACCAUGCCGUCUCACGUGACCAGUUCAGACGGCGGUAGAAUCCAGCUAACAGACAUAAAGGAUUCUGGUAUACUCAAAUGUACAGCUACAAAUCCUUAUGGAACAGUAUUAGCACAUGCAAAUAUAUUAAUGUCUAAUAGCAACAAUCUGUUCGUUGGGCGAUGAGAUUGACUGGCGAUAUCGAACAUGAAAGACAUUCAUGAAAUGAAAAUGAUGUUAAAAACAUGAUUUAGUGAAU